CGUGCCUAAAACAUGCAAGUCGAACGAGAGCUUCGGCUCUAGUGGCGAACGGCGGAGUAAUACGUAAGGAACGUGCCCCUAAGACUGGGAUAGUCGGGAGAAAUCCCGUUCAAUACCGGAUGUGGCAACAGAAUCGCAUGAUUUUGUUACUAAAUGGUGAAAAUCGCUUAGGGAGCGCCUUACGGCCUAUCAGCUUGUUGGUGUGGUAAUGGCUUACCAAGGCUAUGACGGGUAGGGGGUCUGAGAGGAUUAUCCCCCCGAGUGGGACUGAGACACGGCCCACACACCUACGGGUGGCAGCAGUUGGGAAUCUUGCACAAUGGGGGAAACCCUGAUGCAGCGACGCCGCGUGGAGGAUGACGGGCUUCGGUCUGUAAACUCCUUUUAUCAGGAAAGACUUAGGACGGUACCUGAAGAAUAAGCUCCGGCUAACUACGUGCCAGCAGCCGCGGUGAUACGUAGGGAGCAAGCGCUGUCCGGAUUUACUGGGCGUAAAGGGCGCGUAGGCGGUCUGUUAAGUGUGAAGUGAAAUCUCCAGGGCUCAACCCGGAAACUGCUUUGCAAACUGGCAGACUAAAGGAAGGAAGAGGUGAAUGGAAUUCCCGGUGUACCGGUGACA
rnacentral:rRNA from 1 species